ensembl:lncRNA
CGUGACUUUCACCUCAAUUUCUUUUUGGAAAGGCUACAACAUUUUGAAGGAACUUCCUCUCUUUGAAACACCUAUCAUUUUUCUUUUCCCUUUGUUCACAGGGCAGAUACUCUCGGAAUCCACCACACAAAUAAUACAAAUAGCAGCUGGGAGUAGGCAGGGUCAGCCUCAGAGCUGAGGUGCAGAACCAACGUCCUAACCGUGACAAGUGGGCAGCACAGGAAAGCCGCAGCCAGGGAGGCAGGGGGUGUCUGGAACAGGGGGAAAGAAAAGCCACCGCCUUACACCCAACAGCCAUCUCAACACGGACCUAAACAUACCUUAUUUCAAUAAAAAUGUGCAAAAAUGAAAACUACGCUUCUCCAGUAAGCCCAGACUGGGACUCGGCCUCUUUCUCAACUCGAUGCUCCAGGCAGCCAGGCUUCUUAGUCACCAAGCAUUUCAAGUGAAAUGAUUCCCUGAAUUCCUGGGGAGGGCGGGGGGGGGGGGGGGGGAUCAACCUAAUUCUUUGGCUUUUUUCCUAAAGAAAAAAAAAAGUCACGCAGAGCGCCUACAGCUUUACAACCAAAUUUCUCACAUCUUUCCUAUUUACUUCACAGCAUUUAUUUUUCAGAGAAUUUUCACCCAAGACAUCCAUUUUUUCCUUAGUUCACUUCUAGAACUCCAUCACUGAGAGAAGGUGGCUCGCCAGCUCUUCCUCAAAGGACCCCAGCACUGUGGUGGAACCACAAGGCCCCGUGCGGUCCUGCGAGGUCCUCUAGCACCGCCUCGGUGCCCAGCACUGCUCUGAGCGCUUGCAUGUGUCAACGCAGGUAGCCCCCACUAAGGGAGGGCCUGGCACUAUCCUCGUUUCACAGGUGAGCUCACUAAGCUAAAAAGUGGCUCAGGAGCUUUCUGGGCCCCACAGCCCAGGGGGAUGCUCCGGAUUCCCACCCCCAUGGGCUCACGCAGCUUCCAGCCAGCACCACGGGCCACGGCCCCACCAGCAUGACCACCUUCAGGCCCGUCUCCUGAGGGCAGAGCUUUGGCCAAGACCUGAGGAAGCAGAGAGGGAGGCGUUCAGCCUUGCCUCCCUCCACCUCCGCCGGCCAGAUCAACAGUGAGGCUGGGGGGGGACGGGCUCAUGUGGCCAGAUCAACAGUGAGGCUUGGGGGGACGGGCUCGUGUGGCCAGAUCAACAGUGAGGCUGGAGGGGACGGGCUCAUGUGGCCAGAUCAACAGUGAGGCUGGGGGGGGACGGGCUCAUGUGGCCAGAUCAACAGUGAGGCUGGGGGGGACGGGCUCAUGUGGCCAGAUCAACAGUGAGGCUGGAGGGGACGGGCUCAUGUGGCCAGAUCAACAGUGAGGCUGGAGGGGACGGGCUCAUGUGGCCUGUAGCGAGUCUACCAACACCUAGAACUGAUUCACCCACAAGAGGGUAGCUGGGAGGUGGAUGGGGUCACAAGAAGACUUUUCACUGUCUGCCCUUGGAUGUUGGGAAUUUACUUUUUCCAUGUAUAUCCAUUACCUAUGCAAGUAAAUCAUUUCAUAAGGGCCCCCCAUGGUCCACUUCCCUCCAUAUGCUUAAGACUCAUCAUCUUUCUAUACAGGGCCACCUGCCACCCCACACAGGGCUGUGAGAGAACCACGUCCACUGACAACUGCAGAGCCACGGGGGGCAAAGGAGAGCUUCAGCAAGAAAAAGCACCAGGGUGGGGUGGGCAGGGGAGUUUUCAAAACUCUACCCGAGUUUCAAGCCACCAGAUUUAAUUUUUACACAAGAAACAAAUGUAAUGAGCAUUCAGUGAGUAAAAAGAAACACUAUGGUGGACUCUGGAAACAGACAACAGGUAACUGAGAUGAUCCUGCUCGGGGGGCAAGCAACUGGACACCACAGCCCAAUGGGUGACAGACAGACCACCACCAGGCAGAACCCGCUGGGUGCUAUGAAUAUGCAGAGUGAAUGCCAGGGAUGGUUUCCUCCCGGAUUCCUUAGAAUGGUCUUAAAUUUAGCAUAUCUACAAAAGGGAACUUACCCUCCCCCACUCCUUCCUUACC